GGAAACCAACACAGAAGUGACUCGGAAAGCAUGAUGGCAAAUGAUUAAUCAAAUCAGAGACAGGAAGGCGGAGGCAUACGGCGCCGGGCACCGGGCAGGGCUGCGCCCCGCGGGACCCCGCCUGUCCCCUGCGGGGACCCGCCCGCGCUCCCGGAAAGAGGCAGGCGAGGACCACGGAUCGGGAAAGCAUCGGCAGCGAAGGAGAGCCUUGCUCUCCCUCAAGCUGCACAGUGCGCAAAUACCCUGAGAAAUCUCAUCAGUGACCAUUUUCGAUGGCACGAUGGCAUCAUUUUCGGGACCCUCGAGGGACAUGUCACUGACAACUGAUGGGCAAUCUGGCGUUUGGCUGGGGCAGGGGCGUCUGCAGAAAAACCGCAGAGCUUCGCUAAAUGGGGUCUGGGAGAGGACAGGGUUCGUGAUUUACGAUUUUGCGGGGUAGCCUCCACUUCUUCGGGCAAGCAGUGCUUGCCAAGGUGCGGGUUUGGAGGCACGUUGCCGGCCCGCCGGAGAGAAGAGUUACUGAGUUACUGAGUUAAGAGUUGCAGAUAUGUCGCCCGUUUCCCCGUUUUUUCCCAGCGAUAACUGUGACUCUUUUCAUUACUAUCGUUUUGUUCCUCAAAAACCCAAACAAAAGUACAAGGCGAAGCUGAACACAUCAUGAGGCGUAAUGUUCUAAGUUAUCAAAAGGGGGAAGAAGCAAAAAAGAGUCACUCAUUACUGAUCUCUCUUUUUCAGGUGUUGCUUUUAACAAGAUGUUCAGAAAAAAAUUGACCUGCAGUUCCUCUGCUCCUGACUUUGGAGGUGAUAUCGCUUGAUGCUUAUCAGCCACAACACCUGAGGCAUUUGGUACGAGGCUCCUGACUGCUCCCCACGCUCGGGUACGAGUGGUCCUUGCUGCACGAAGGCUGCCCCGCAUCCAGCUCCUCAUCCAGCCCCUCAUCCAGCCCCGCAUCGAACCCUGCAUCCAGCUCCUCAUACAACUCCACAUCCAAUUCCGCAUCCAACUCCGCAUCCAGUCCCGCAUCCAGCCCCGCAUCCAGUCCCGCAUCCAGCCCCGCAUCCAACCCCGCAUCCAGUCCCGCAUCCAUCCCUGCAUCCAACCCCGCAUGCAGCCCCGCAUCCAACCCCGCAUGCAACUCCAUAUCCAGCCCUGCAUCCAGUCCCGCAUCCAUCCCUGCAUCCAACCCCGCAUCCAGCUCCGCAUCCAGCCCAAGAGGAGCUGCUGGCAGCCCCGGCCGACAAUCAGAAGCAGCGCCGGUAACGGCUCGCAAAGCCCAGACAACGAAAUCCCGGGAAAUGUUUGCUGCCGGUGGCUGCCUGGCUACUGAAACACCCGCCGGGCCCGGGGUGAGGCCGGGACGGGUUUCGGGGGGAAGCAGGUUGCAGGAGCCCGAGGUUUGGGCAGCCGGAAUUCUGCCUUGGUGCGUUUUCAAAAAGGUUUUGGGGCCGCGGCUGCCGGGUGCUGCUGGCUGCUGCCAGCCCCUCCUGCCUUCAGAGCAGCCCCAGGCGGGGCAGGAGGGAAGGGCCCCGGGAUCCCCGCUGGUACCAGCUGGAGAGGGGCCUCCGAGGCCCUUCAAUCCAUGUCCUCGUUGGAUCCUGUCAUGGAUCUGAUGUUCCCAGGGAGCGGCGGGAGGGCGCGGGGCAGCGGCCACCCUUCCGGGCAGCCAGGGCAAGGGGCAAGGGCAGGGGCAGGGACAUGGGAAGGGGCGGCCUCUCAGUGUCCGGCCGUACAAGUUGCUUUUCUGCUUCCUAUGAAGCUCCCGAGAUACGGG
rnacentral:lncRNA from 12 species